CCUGGCAUAAUGAUGAGACUUUUUUGCCGUUUACCCAUCUGAAUGUUUUUUGAUGUGUAUCUUGAGAUCUGAAAUGCCAGU